AUUGAACGCUGGCGGCAGGCCUAACACAUGCAAGUCGAGCGGGGUUUUCAGACCUAGCGGCGGACGGGUGAGUAAUGCGUAGGAAGCUACCCGAUAGAGGGGGAUACCAGUUGGAAACGACUGUUAAUACCGCAUAAUGUCUACGGACCAAAGUGUGGGACCUUCGGGCCACAUGCUAUCGGAUGCGCCUACGCGGGAUUUGCUAGUUGGUGAGGUAAUGGCUCACCAAGGCGACGAUCCCUAGCUGGGUUGAGAGGAUGAUCAGCCCAACUGGAACUGAGACACGGUCCAGACUCCUACGGGAGGCAGCAGUGGGGAAUAUUGGACAAUGGGCGCAAGCCUGAUCCAGCCAUGCCGCGUGUGUGAAGAAGGCCUUCGGGUUGUAAAGCACUUUCAGCGAGGAGGAAGGGGUGAGUGUUAAUAGUACUCAUCUUUGACGUUACUCGCAGAAGAAGCACCGGCUAACUCUGUGCCAGCCGCCGCGGUAACAC
rnacentral:rRNA from 1 species